GACUGUGCUGUAUUUUGCACGUGUAUAGGCACACACCUCCUACUCAUGAGGAAACAGACCUCUCCCAACGAGCAGGGAACAGUGUACUUUGCAGGUGGACUGAUUAGAGAGAGAUGUGCUGCUUUGCUGGGAACAGUAUCCUCUCGGGAGACAGAUGUUCCUGCCCUUGUGCUGCACUAGUCCUGCCUGUGCUGAAGAUCCACGUGUGAGAUAGGGAAGAGCAAAGAAUCUCAAGUUUCAUGAGAAUUGGAGGAGAGAAAUAGUCAUUGCCAGGCUCGGGGAAAACCAGGAGGGAGCUGGGAGAUGCUGUGGUUCCUUUGGCAGCAGCCUGCCGGUCGAUCUGCACACGUGUACGGCCCUGGACUGACCGUACCUCAUGCUGCCAGUGUCUCCUUCGAGGGCAGUGUCACUGGACACACAAAGGAAGAGACUCUAUCUGUUUUAUAAUAAAAACAUGAAGAAAACACAUAGAGAAAGACUGUGUCCACGCUAUUAAUUUCAGUGAGGAAGCUUCUAAGUUUUGUGCAGUUGUCACCUGAAGUCUUGCAACA